CGCGUGGGAAUCUGCCCUUGGCGUUCGGAAUAACAGCGGGAAACUGCUCGCUAAUACCGAUAUGAUGACGUAAGUCCAAAGAUUUAUCGCCCAGGGAUGAGCCCGCGUAGGAUUAGCUAGUUGGUGUGGUAAAGGCACACCAAGGCGACGAUCCUUAGCUGGUCUGAGAGGAUGAUCAGCCACACUGGGACUGAGACACGGCCCAGACUCCUACGGGAGGCAGCAGUGGGGAAUAUUGGACAAUGGGCGAAAGCCUGAUCCAGCAAUGCCGACGUGAGUGAUGAAGGCCUUAGGGUUGUAAAGCUCUUUUACCCGGGAUGAUAAUGACAGUACCGGGAGAAUAAGCUCUGGCUAAAUCCGU
rnacentral:rRNA from 1 species